rnacentral:lncRNA from 1 species
GGCAGAUGAUUCCAAAGUAGCAUCUAAAGCUGGUGGAUCUGAAAUAGAAGACCAAGCAAAACUUAGAUUUCAAGUGGUGCUUGAAUUUGUUCAGUGUCUUGGCAAUCCAAAUUACCUCAAUUUCCUUGCUCAGCGAGGCUACUUCAAGGAUCAACCUUUCAUAAACUAUUUGAAAUAUUUGCUUUACUGGAAAAAGCCAGAGUGUGUCAAGUACCUGACGUAUCCUAUGUGCAACACUUCAUACGAGAAGUAGUGAAUGCUCAGUGUGCCAAGUGCCCUGAGUGCCCCAACAACCACAAAUAAUCCACCAACGGGCUUCCUCCAGUCACCAAAAACUCCACCUAGGAACAUGCUCUCAAACAUUAAUUUCGGUAAGGAGCAUGCAGAGGAAAAAAAUAUGAAGUUAAGUAAAAGCAGUGAGAGCGGUAACAAACGGAAUUCAUGCAGAUAGCUAAGAAUACUGAACUGACAGACUCGAGAAAAGGCCUGCAAACGAGGCAAAAAUGAGACUCCCAGAGAGUAAGCCAAACUAAACUAUACAGGGCCAUUCCAUCGUUACGGGUGUGACACUGUGACAAUUUAUCUUUAAACAAGAAUUUGGACACCUUCUUGAGGUUUAAUUAAGACAGUAUAUGCAGUAGCAGAGAGAACUUUUUUUAUAUAUCAUGACAGUUUAUCAAUUUUUUUUUUUUUUACUUUGUUCCAUUCCUCAGAAAAAAUUAAAAGGCUGCGUUAUGGGUGUGAUCGAUUUUGGAAGUGAGUUUUGCCCCAGCGAGUGUAAAGUGGAAACUCAGUGAAUUUAAUGAAUGUAAAAAUCUGAUUAAAUUACAUAAUGAAGCCAAGGGUUUUGGUUUCAACUGCUGAUGAUCUGUUUUCAAUUAUCUUUUUUUCAUUCCUUGAAAAAUGGGAAAGUUUGCGUUACGAGUGUGACGUUACGGGUGUGGCAAAUUGUCUCUCUAGGUCCAUCAUUUCUGAGAGAGUUUAAAAAUUAAAAAACUUACUUUUCUUCUCAUACUCAUAUUGUCAGUGGCGUGGCGUCCAUAGGUUCGCAGUGUUCGCCGAACACCCUAAAAUAUUUUGAAACAAUUAAUAAAUUAUGGCUAAGAAUGUGGGAAGCAAUACAGAAUACAGAAUAGUAGAUCGCAAAUAAGUAUCGGGCGCUUGGCUUCCGACAGCGGCAUGCGGCGCGGCGGAGAGAGAAAAUCCUGUGACGCGUGGUCCGCACCGGCUACCGAACCUGGAUGAUCUGCGUUCGGUGAGGAGAGAGAACGUGGAUGCAAUGAUGAAAGGGCAAAGGCGCGCGGCGCAGAGCGGAGCGUGAGCAUUGGGUUCGGAGACGAGUGCGGACCGCGCUCGCGGAGGGAACACAGCAGAGAGAAAAGGGAGGGGAAAAGAACGAGAGAGGAGAGCCGCUCAUCAGUCCAGCUGUUUCCUAUAGCAGUGGUCCGCAGGGGUUUGCGAACCGCCGAAUUUCCUCUAUGCCGCGAUUCGCCCUCCGCUUCGCGCCUGCGGGCCGCAUCUCCCAGUCUCCCUCUCCCACCUCUCUCUGCAGGUGCAUGUUGCGAAAAUACGUCAUCAUUUAACAAAGUAAAUUACAGGAAAACGAUCGGUAAAAGAAAAAAAUUUCAAUGACGAUUUACCGGCACAAUUUUCACCAGAAACGGUUAAAAUCGUGUUCUUGCGGCUUCAUUUUUUAAAAAGUUUCCGGAGGAGGCCCCCCGAACCCCCUU